CGCAUCUGUGCAUGCAGCAUAUCAAUAAGCGGAGGAAAAGAAACUAACAAGGAUUCCCUUAGUAACGGCGAGUGAAGCGGGAAGAGCUCAAAUUUGAAAUCUUCAAGGUUUUACCUUGACGAAUUGUAGUUUAAAGAAGUGUUUUCUGUUGAAGUUUUGGUAAAAGUUCUUUGGAAUAGGACAUCAUAGAGGGUGAGAAUCCCGUAUUUGACCAUUAUUUUCAGCUGUGUGAUACACUUUCAAAGAGUCGGAUUGUUUGGGAAUGCAGUCCAAAAUGGGUGGUAAAUUUCAUCUAAAGCUAAAUAUUGGCGAGAGACCGAUAGCGAACAAGUACCGUGAGGGAAAGAUGAAAAGAACUUUGAAAAGAGAGUUAAACAGUACGUGAAAUUGUCAAAAGGGAAGCGUUUGACACCAGUGUUGUUUUCUCGAAAAUCAAUUAAAAAGAGUUAGAUUUUGUUGUGUAUUGACCUUAACAGCUUGCAUUUCAAUUUUCUUGCUUUUUUUAAUGCACUUUUCGUUUAACAAGUCAACAUCAGUUUCUUUUGUUGUAAAAAGGUCAUUGGAAGGUGGCUUUCUUUUCGGAGAAAGUGUUUAUAGCCUUUGACUCCUGCAAUCGGAGAGACUGAGGUCUGCAGCGUAGAUCCUUCGGGGUUAGAUACAUUUGUGCUAAGUUAUAGCUUUUUAUAGACAACUUGUUGACUAUGAUUAGUCUUGUAGCUUACUCGCUUAUGCUAUUUUACCUACGCUUAGGAUGUUGAACUCUAUCACACACAG
rnacentral:rRNA from 1 species